GAUGAACGCUGGCGGCGUGCCUAAUACAUGCAAGUCGAGCGAACGGACGAGAAGCUUGCUUUUCUGAUGUUAGCGGCGGACGGGUGAGUAACACGUGGAUAACCUACCUAUAAGACUGGGAUAACUUCGGGAAACCGGAGCUAAUACCGGAUAAUAUUUUGAACCGCAUGGUUCAACAGUGAAAGACGGUCUUGCUGUCACUUAUAGAUGGAUCCGCGCUGCAUUAGCUAGUUGGUAAGGUAACGGCUUACCAAGGCAACGAUGCAUAGCCGACCUGAGAGGGUGAUCGGCCACACUGGAACUGAGACACGGUCCAGACUCCUACGGGAGGCAGCAGUAGGGAAUCUUCCGCAAUGGGCGAAAGCCUGACGGAGCAACGCCGCGUGAGUGAUGAAGGUCUUCGGAUCGUAAAACUCUGUUAUUAGGGAAGAACAUAUGUGUAAGUAACUGUGCACAUCUUGACGGCACCUAAUCAGAAAGCCACGGCUAACUACGUG
rnacentral:rRNA from 1 species